GGGAGGCCUUGGCUGCGUGAGAGCAGCUGGGGGCAGUGGCGAAGGCACCAGCUUGGGGAGCUGGAGGGAGGCACCUCCCCACCAUGAAUUUGUCUCAUCUGUGACCUGGGCCUGUGAACCCUUGCUGGGGAAUGGAAGACACUGGCUGUAAGAUGCCUACGCUGACUACUGUGAAUGCUCUGGGAGCGGGAGAGGCCUCCAAGGAUGCAGCCGGUGGGCAGCCAUGGUGCCCCCGCCCCUGAGGCCUGGGCCUGAGCCCCCCGGGACCGAGGGUCAGGGGGUGGAAGGAGGGGACUCACCAUUGCACAGGAUGGCCCGGCUCAGGCCCAGGGCAUCUGCGGUCCCCGAACUCAUGUUCUCAACCAGCCGAUGCUUCACCUUCUUCAACACUGGGACCAGAAUCACAAUAAAAACAUCACAAUUAUUUGAAAAAGAAUGGUAAAGGAGAUCACAACAAUAAAAGAUAUACAGCCAUUUCCGGAAGAUGCAACAGCGGGGAUCCAAGGGCCUGCACAGGGGGUUGAUGAAAGAGAGCUAGUCUUUGCUGGAAAGUGCCGGCAGGCCAGGAAACAGACCUCUGGAAACAUCUGUAGGGAACACGGAGGACACGGAACGCCACCACCUCAGCGCCGGCCACUGGCCUCCCUGCCCACAUCCUGCUGGAGCUUCAGCAGCAGACGUUUCCCAGACCGUUGCGGGUUUUGGCAGACGAUCUGCAAUGAAGCCUCUGGGCCCCCCGAAGCAGCCGCAGGGAUUAAGGGCACACAGGUUCGAGCCCUGGUCCGGGAAGAUCCCACAUGCUGCAGAGCAACUAAGCCCGUGUACCACAACUACUGAGCCCACGUGCCACAACUGCUGAAGCUGGCGCGCCUAAAGCCCGUGCUCCGCAACAAGAGAAGUCACCACAAUGAGAGGCCCGUGCACCGCCACGAAGAGUAGCCCCCGCUCGCCACAACUAGAGAAAGCCCGUGUGCAGCAGCGAAGACCAAACAGAGCCAAAAAUAAAUAAGUAAAUAAAUACAUUUAUUUUUUAAAAAAUAAUAAUAAUAAACUAUACGGGAGGAUGUGCAGAGGUCAUAUGCAAACACUAUGCCAUUUAAAAAGAAAGACAAAAAAACGGCAUGUUACUAUGCUCCGAGCUCUCUGAGGGCAGGGUCUCCGUUUUCUUGCUUUCUUAUCUCUAGUGGCUACGAAAGAGCCUGGCCAGGCCCUCAGAAAAUAUUUCCCGAACAUAAUAUGUUGUACUGAUACUGAUUUAACCAAAAUUGACAUGAUAACUAUGUUGGGAAGAUAGAUAGAUAGGUUUUGGAAGAAAGCUAAAUUUUUAGCUCCUAGACUGAGAGAAGCUGACAGAUGUUUAUAAGCAAUAGACCAAAAACUAACAGGCUAAGCAUCUUACUGAGAAAAAUGGGACCUCAUACCUGAA